GAAACUGCGAAUGGCUCAUUAUAUAAGUUAUCGUUUAUUUGAUAGUACCUUACUACUUGGAUAACCGUGGUAAUUCUAGAGCUAAUACAUGCUAAAAAUCCCGACUUCGGAAGGGAUGUAUUUAUUAGAUUAAAAACCAAUGCCCUUCGGGGCUCACUGGUGAUUCAUGAUAACUCCUCGAAUCGCAUGGCCUUGUGCCGGCGAUGGUUCAUUCAAAUUUCUUCCCUAUCAACUUUCGAUGUUUGGGUAUUGGCCAAACAUGGUUGCAACGGGUAACGGAGGGUUAGGGCUCGACCCCGGAGAAGGAGCCUGAGAAACGGCUACUACAUCCAAGGAAGGCAGCAGGCGCGCAAAUUACCCAAUCCCGACACGGGGAGGUAGUGACAAUAAAUACUGAUACAGGGCUCUUUUGGGUCUUGUAAUUGGAAUGAGUACAAUUUAAAUCCCUUAACGAGGAACAAUUGGAGGGCAAGUCUGGUGCCAGCAGCCGCGGUAAUUCCAGCUCCAAUAGCGUAUAUAAAAGUUGUUGUGGUUAAAAAGCUCGUAGUUGAACCUUGGGCCUGGCUGGCCGGUCCGCCUCAC
rnacentral:rRNA from 1 species